GGACCAGUAGCUCAGUUGGUAGAGCAAUUGACUCUUAAUCAAUGGGUCCAGGGUUCGAGUCCCUGCUGGUCCACCA
rnacentral:tRNA from 1 species